AUUGAACGCUGGCGGCAUGCCUUACACAUGCAAGUCGAACGGCAGCACGGGAGCAAUCCUGGUGGCGAGUGGCGAACGGGUGAGUAAUAUAUCGGAACGUGCCCAGUCGUGGGGGAUAACGCAGCGAAAGCUGUGCUAAUACCGCAUACGAUCUACGGAUGAAAGCGGGGGAUCGCAAGACCUCGCGCGAUUGGAGCGGCCGAUAUCAGAUUAGCUAGUUGGUGAGGUAAAGGCUCACCAAGGCGACGAUCUGUAGCUGGUCUGAGAGGACGACCAGCCACACUGGAACUGAGACACGGUCCAGACUCCUACGGGAGGCAGCAGUGGGGAAUUUUGGACAAUGGGCGCAAGCCUGAUCCAGCAAUGCCGCGUGCAGGAUGAAGGCCUUCGGGUUGUAAACUGCUUUUGUACGGAACGAAACGGUGAGCUCUAAUACAGUUUGCUAAUGACGGUACCGUAAGAAUAAGCACCGGCUAACUACGUGCCAGCCGCCGCCGUAAAAC
rnacentral:rRNA from 1 species